AUCCUUGUGUUCGUGAGCAUGAUGAUUGGGGUUGAUACCACUGUGGGGAAUGUGCUUCCCUCCAACUGUGUUAGGACCUCAGCACAUACAAUCAGUCUGGUG